ensembl:snRNA U6 U6 spliceosomal RNA
GUGGUUGCUUCAGCAGCACGUAUACUAAAAUUGGAACAAUACAGAAGAUCAGCAUGGCCCCUAUACAAGGAUUACAUGCAAAUUCUCGAAGCAUUCCAUAUUUUU